GUUGAACGCUGGCGGCAGGCCUAACACAUGCAAGUCGAGCGGAGUGGCGGACGGGCGAGUAAUGACUACGUAUAUGACUGGUCGUUGGGGAUAAGGUACGGUCACGGAACCUAAUACAGCAUCCUAUUUGAUGAGCCUAGGUCGGAUUAGCUCGUUGGUUGGGUAAAGGCGUACCAAGGCGACGAUCCGUAGCCGGACUGAGAGGAUGAUCAGUCACACUGGAACUGAGACACGGUCCAGACUCCUACGGUAGGCAGCAGUAGGGAAUAUUGCGCAAUGGGCGAAAGCCUGAUCCAGCAAGGCCGCGUGAGUGAUGAAGGUCUUCGGAUUGUAAAGCACUGUAAGUUGGGAGGCGGUACCAACUGAAUAAGCACCGGCUAACUACGUGCCAGCAGCCGCGGUAAUAC
rnacentral:rRNA from 1 species